AUCCCUUGUGAAGAUAUUGCUAUAAAAUGCACAAAGGCAUUACGUUGCGAGCGAGACGCUGCGCAGGAGGAUGUCGUCAAGUGUCCUCGGGGUCCCGUCCUUCAGUGCUGUGCAGUUCAGUGAUAAGACUGGUGAUAACAUCUGGCCAAAGGAUCAAGAACCAAAGAGGGACAAAUCAUGCCAGGUGCAGGUUUCGUGAGAAAAGAGGGCGACCAGAGGGAAAGAGACGGAACAUCAAAAUGCAAGAUCACAUCCAGCCUGUGGGCCUCGGCGUCAGGCGGGACGUGUUUCUGAGCAGAAGACAUCCGCCGCCGGCGGACGGGAAUGUAUGACGUAGAAGGAAAGGCGCUGAGCGGG
ensembl:lncRNA